GUGCUGACCCCUGCAAGUUCCCCAAGAUCACGAAGGUGGUUUUCCCAGGGUGAGGCUCAUCCAUUGCUCUCCAUGUGCUGAUCCCUGUGAGUUCCCCAAAUGUGGGAAACUCCACUGCAUAAUUUGUGGUAAUGAGGGACUGUGUUCACGCUUUCCCCUG